GGAUGGGAUGGAGGCAACCCUGAUCCAGCCAUGCCGCGUGUGUGAAGAAGGCCUUCGGGUUGUAAAGCACUUUCGGACGGAACGAAAUCGCACGGGUGAAUAUCCCGUGUGGAUGACGGUACUGUAAGAAGAAGCACCGGCUAACUACGUGCCAGCGGCCGCGGUAAUACGUAGGGUGCGAGCGUUAAUCGGAAUUACUGGGCGUAAAGCGUGCGCAGGCGGCUUCGCAAGUCAGACGUGAAAUCCCCGG
rnacentral:rRNA from 1 species